GAUGAACGCUGGCGGCGUGCUUAACACAUGCAAGUCGAGCGAAGCAGUUAAGUUGAUUUCUUCGGAUUGAUUCUUAACUGACUGAGCGGCGGACGGGUGAGUAACGCGUGGGUGACCUGCCCCAUACCGGGGGAUAACAGCUGGAAACGGCUGCUAAUACCGCAUAAGCGCACAGAGCUGCAUGGCUCGGUGUGAAAAACUCCGGUGGUAUGGGAUGGGCCCGCGUCUGAUUAGGCAGUUGGCGGGGUAACGGCCCACCAAACCGACGAUCAGUAGCCGGCCUGAGAGGGCGACCGGCCACAUUGGGACUGAGACACGGCCCAAACUCCUACGGGAGGCAGCAGUGGGGAAUAUUGCACAAUGGGGGAAACCCUGAUGCAGCGACGCCGCGUGAGCGAAGAAGUAUUUCGGUAUGUAAAGCUCUAUCAGCAGGGAAGA
rnacentral:rRNA from 1 species